AAAAAAAGUACAUUAAAUGACUACUAAUAGGCAGUACCCUCAACCAACUUGUUCAACUUCUUGUUCCUUAACCUCUCAGCAUGCACGUCACUUCCUUGGCAUUCAUACCUUGGUGGUAAAGAGAUUAAAGGGCUCAAGCUUUUGGCAAGUUUAAGAGCCUCUUGCUCAGUAUUCACAAUCUUGUUGAAGCAGAAGUAUCGCCCACAUGUUGACCUAUCCUCGAAAGCCCGAAUAUGAACAUCCACCAGGAACUUCACAUCUACAAAGGCCAUCACUCCAUUUUCAUACAUCUGAGCUGCUCCUUGGAGGUAAGAGAUAGUGGAUCGUGGAUUUUGUUGAGCAACAGCGGGGCCCAAAACUAGUCCAGCAUUAAUGGAAACCAUGUUCAGCAUUCGGUCCAUUGCUAAAGCCCAAGCUGCUUGUUCCGACUGUGUCUUUGUGAGGGCGUACCACAACUUUAAUUUCCUGCAAAAUUCUUGAUCACUCCAAGACUUCUCAUCUACAUCUUCUUGUGAACAGACGUUUUCUUUCCAUAUUGCUGCAGUUAAAGAAGAAGUAAAUACAAUCUUUUCUAUGCUAUCAGUUUGUGCACAAGCUUCAACUGCAUUGAUUGCUCCUCUAACUUCAAAAUCAACAACUCCAUCUUCAUAUCCAUCUGGACUAUCUAAACAACAGAACAAAGCAGAGCAGCCCUUCAAAGCAAAAAGAAUGCUCUGGUAAUCCAAAACAUCUACAUCAAAUACUACCAAUCUCUCCUCUUCUUUCUCCAUAUCUCUUAUUUUCUCCUCUAUCUCUGUCUCUCCAUUCUUUUGGGUAGCUGCAUGAACUGUGUAUCCUCUAUUCAAGAGUCCCUUGAGAAUCCAAAAACCGACAUAAGUUGAAGCAUCAAGAACGCAAACUGCAGGCAGUACUUCAUAAUCCAUUCUUGAUCUUGCGAGCUGUUUUGGGGCUUUUUUUUUUCCUUUACAAAUCUUGGUACUAUCCUACUCUUGUAAUUGAUUGCUUUUAUAACAGCUUCUGUAUAUAGAAGUAGAGGGGAGGGAAUUUGUAGGUGAGAUCAAUGGACGGACACUGAUAGAAGAAGAGUUGGUGAACUAUUUUGCCACACGUUCUCAUCUACUCACCAUCCUUUGCUUGAAAGGUCUUUUUGGC
rnacentral:misc_RNA from 1 species